ACAAAAUUAAAUGUAGCUCGAAAACUGAAAACCCGGUAGACCUUCUAGAAGCCUCUAAUGAAAAUUUCUCUCCAUAAAAUACAUGUUUCUUAAAAAAUUAAAAACCUCAAAAAUCAAACUUUAUUUCUCUCUCUGCCUCUCCCGUUGAAACCAUCCCAGUCCUGAAAAAUGUCGCUCGACGGGGACGUCAACGGCGGCGGCGCUAACACCGUCGGUGUGACCAAUAAGCUUUUCUUUUGCUAUCAAUGUAACCGUACCGUCACCGUAACUGUCUCCCCUUCAUGUGACCCUUCUUGUCCCAUAUGUAACGAAGGCUUCGUCGAAGAAUACGAAAACCCUAACCCUAAUCCAGGCUCCGCCUUCCAAAACCUGAACCCAUUCACCGAACCCUUUGUGACGCUAUCGGAUCCGUUCUCUUCCUUCCUCCCGCUCCUUUUUCCUUCCUCUUCUUCUUCCAUUACCACUUCAUCGUCAUCCGCUGCUUCCGUUGACCUUAACAACCCUAGCCUAUCCGGGUCUAACCGGUCAGGCCGAGGCGACCCUUUCAAUCCGUUUACCUUCAUCCAAAAUCAUCUCAACGAUCUCCGUUCAAGCGGGGCGCACAUCGAGUUCGUGAUCCAGAACAAUCCGUCGGAGCCGGGCAUUCGGCUUCCGGCAAACAUAGGGGAUUAUUUCAUCGGACCGGGCCUCGAGCAACUGAUCCAGCAGCUGGCCGAAAACGACCCUAACCGGUACGGGACCCCACCGGCAUCAAAAUCAGCCAUUGACUCGCUACCUUCGGUGAAGAUAACGAAGAAUCACUUGAAUUCGGAGUUCAACCAGUGUGCAGUUUGCAUGGACGAGUUCGAGGAAGAGACUGAAGCGAAGCAGAUGCCCUGUAAGCAUCUUUAUCAUAAGGAUUGCAUAUUGCCGUGGUUGGAAUUGCAUAAUUCGUGCCCCGUGUGUCGUCAUGAGUUACCUACGGAUGAUCCUGAUUAUGAGAGGAGGGUUCGUGGGGCGCAGGGGACGGGUGGAGGUAAUGAUAGUGGUAGUAGUGGUGGGGGUGAUAAUGGGCAGAGUUCUGUCGGGGAUAAUCGGACGGUGGAGAGGAGUUUUAGAAUAUCGCUGCCUUGGCCAUUUGGGGCUCGUGGUUCGGCUUCAGGAUCAGGUGAUAAUGCGGAGACCAGGCAAGAAGAUUUGGAUUGAGAAUUUUGGUAUAUCUUUUGAAGAAUCCAGCUGAUGUUAGCUGUGAAAGGCUUGGUGGUCAUCUUGGAAGGUUGAGGUGGUGGGAAGUGAUACUAUAUAAAGAUUGAAUACCAAGCUGGAGCUUUCUACCCGUGAUAAUAGUUCUCUGAGCUUAGUAAAGGUGAUAAGGUAAAGGAAAGCAUGUAAAGAAGUUAUGGGUAAAAGGGGUGGUGGCGAGUCACAUGAACAAAAAAGUAGAAAAGUAAGUUCUUUAUAUACUUCCAGUCUAUGUCUUGUGGCACUAACAUCAUAUUCACUGGAAGAAACUCCUGGCAAGUUCUAAUGCUCAUGUAUGUCUAGGUUGUGUAAUGUGUUGCCAUUCAAUAUUUCUAUCUUAAUUUUGUUCCAUUAUUACGCUGUCCGAAUAACCUUGUGGUCCUAGUAGCUGGGGUGUCAAGCCUUUUUUUAUUUUUCGUGGGUACAAUAUCUGGCUGAAAUGUCAUAGACAUAUUGAUACUUAGACUGGCAAGGGCUUUUGAUUGUUCAUUUUUGGGUUAAUGUUAUGAAUAGUCCUUAACCUAUAGUGAAAUAUUUAAUGUGGUACCUAAACUAUAAAAGUCUCUAAUGUGUUAGCUGAACUAUGAAUCUAUUAACUAAUGUGAUAAAUGGAGGGUUGUUUGUCCAUCAUGUGUCAUCAUUUGAAACUAAUUACGUUAGAGGUGAGUAUCACAUUAGUUAACAAAUUUGUAGUUCAGGUAUCACAUUAGAGAUUUUUUAAAGUUCAGAUACCAAAUUGAAUAUUUCACUAUAGUUUAGAGGCCAUUCAUGACAUUAACUCUUCACUUUUAGUGCUGCAUGUGUCAUUUCUUGCUUUAGAUACUGGCCAAUGUCAAUCGGAAUGAUUCUUGAAUCCUGUUGAAAUAUUGAUAAAUGAAUCAAUUAGGACUUGAAAUACAACAAAUAUUCUUGGUUGAGUUGACAUUUUUUGAUAAUCCCUAUUUGCUUGACAAGCCUACCUCUUGAUGCAUCCUUCGUCCCCUAAGUGGCUUGUAAGGAGGUUGAACCUUAUUGUUAAGUAAAAUGUUAGGCUGCUGUGGAUCUGGAAUAGGUUUAGGUUCAAUUUAUACCAACUGAAAAAAAAGAUGUAUGUCGCAAACUUCAAAAUAGAUUAAAAUUUUGUUAUCCAUUUUUCUAAAAAGACGAAUUGCUGCAGUCAUUUCAUAUUACUUACUACUAAUACAACUGUCACAGUUUCUACUUGUUUUGAUUUGUACUUUUUCAAAGAAUCAGGUAUUUAGCAGAUUCAGUGUAUUAAAAGCAAUUUUAUUGCUCUAAAAAGACAUAAUGUUAAUCAUCAAAGCCUGCAUACGUUUGCAUGCUUUCAGUGCUCGUGCAUAAGGCUAUGCUUGAUGGAAAGUUGGAAAGAUAGAAGGGUGGUUCUGUUAUUUAACUAGUGGAGUUAGAAAAAAUCAUAGUUACAGAACUUAUGGUUUCUUGACUCGUUAAGUAUAUUGUGAUGUACACGAAUCAGAGCUACUUUC